rnacentral:tRNA from 1 species
GCGGGCGUAGUUCAGCGGUAGAACGUCGCGUUCCCAACGCGAAAGUCGAGGGUUCGAUCCCCUUCGCCCGCU